rnacentral:rRNA from 1 species
UACAGAGGUCUCGAGCGUUAGGCGGAAUCACUGGGCUUAAAGCGUGUGUAGGCGGAUCGUUAAGUACCUUGUGAAAUCCCCCAGCUCAACUGAGGACGUGCAUCCGAAACUGGCGAGCUUGAGUACUGAAGAGGAUCGCGGAAUUCCCGGUGUAGAGGUGAAAUUCGUAGAUAUCGGGAGGAACACCAGUGGCGAAGGCGGCGAUCUGGGCAGAUACUGACGCUGAGGUGCGAAAGCGUGGGGAGCAAACAGG